rnacentral:rRNA from 1 species
GACAGAGGGUGCAAACGUUGCUCGGAAUCACUGGGCGUAAAGGGCGUGUAGGCGGGACGGUAAGUCGGGCGUGAAAUCCCUAGGCUCAACCUAGGAACUGCACUCGAAACUACCAUUCUUGAGUGUCGGAGAGGAAAGCGGAAUUCCUGGUGUAGAGGUGAAAUUCGUAGAUAUCAGGAGGAACACCAGUGGCGAAGGCGGCUUUCUGGACGAUAACUGACGCUGGAGACGCGAAAGCGUGGGGAGCAAACAGG